UCUUUUCAAUUGCACGGCUCAUCAUCUUCUUCUUAUUGAAUUUGUUACACACCUACCACCUUUCUUCCCCAAUCUGUUCCAACCUCUGGGUCGUGCUUCGCCGGUUUCUUUCUUUCAAAAGUGAAUCAGUAAGAAGAAGAGUGGAAUACCUACUGAGGAGAUCUAGAGUUUCGGUGGGCUGGUUUAUGGGCUGCAAAAAAUUGAUUGUAUUGGUUGAUGCUGAAAAGAGAUAAGUUCAAAAGAGAUAGAUGACAUGCCCAAAGCAGUAUUCAUUUGCUUUCAAGAAUUGGAGGCAAGGAUAACUUCUUCCAUUGCAAGAGAUGUGCACCUGAGAAGAAGCACCGUCUCCCAUAUGCUUACAAUCGUUUCAUGAAGUUCCUUAUCUGAAUAUUCUCAGAUCAAAUAUUAAUCAGGGGGUUUAUUUCAGCUUCUGAGUUCAUGACACAUGCUGAAUAAUAAGGAUUAGAUUAAGAGAAGAAGGUGGAUGAUGGAAACAGAACAAUAGACCAAGGGGAGAAAAAUUUGUAUUGGAGGUGUUUGAUCCGGCGAACUAUGUUAAGAAUGGGACUACUUUCUACUUUCCUUUGAUUCUGUAGGUUGUAACUGAAGAAUAAACAGGAAGGGAAUGAUGCUGCUACUGUUGCAAAGGAGAAACACUCAGCAAAGGAAAAAAAUCAUAAAAGGAAAAAGGGCUUUUCCAUGGGAGAUGUAUGAUGGAGACCAUAGUAAUAGAAGAUUUAAGGAAGAUUUUGGUUUCAUCUAUUAUAAGGCAGUGUUACAAGUAAGGUAUAUACUCUCUUUUUACAAUCUUGAUGUUGUGUUCCUGAGGAGUGAGGAAGAAUACCACUGAUAUGUAUCAACCUGAAUAGAAGUAACUGCACAACACUUAAAAACUAAUAUUAGAAGAAGUUUGAGGUGUAGAAGCUUAGAUAAAGUGAUUUGCUGAUUCUAAUGGAUUUGAUUAGAACUCUAGAUUGUGUUUAUGGUAAAAAAGAAAAGACAGGGUAUUUUUGAAUCUUUACAUUCCCACUACUUUCUUUCCACCCCAUGUGACAGUUACAACCUUUUACUUCCAAUUUCCAAACAGCUGCACCGGUUAAAAUGCACCCCUUCAUAUUCUAGCUGCUUAUUUCCAAGAAAUUUUGUUUCAAAAUUCAAAUUUAAUUGCAAUUUUUUCCUUUCUUGCCUGUCAAACAGUCCCAUUAUAAAAAUUCAAAUUAACAAAAAUCCUUUUGUUUUUGCUUCUUCUAUCUGCACAGCUCCUCUUUACAUGGCUGUUUUUGCAUACUUAAGAAAUUGCCCUUUCUAGCUGCAUAUUGCAGCUUAUCUUUUGCAGCCUAUAUUGAGCAAUAAUAUAAAUGAAAUUAUAUACAGCUAAAAAGUAGAAAGUUGAAUGUCUUGCAAGAAUGUAUAGUUGAUAAAUACUAAAGGUAUCUUGGCUGAUAUAUUUAUCCAUGUCAGAACAGUUUUGGGGAAUUAGAAGGUAUCUUGGACGAGAAGUAAUAUUUUUUCCUUGAUUUGUUCCCUGUUGGGUUUUUAUGAAUUUUAUGUUUUGGUUUUCAUUUCAAGCUAUUACCAUUCUUACUCUUAUUUAUUUAUGAUUAGCAGUCAGUUUUAUAUUGUUGGCAUCGGUAUUAGAGCAGCAGUGGCAUCAAGUUCCGGAUGGCUUAUAAAUGAAACUCUAAGAGCCUCUAUUUCUUUAGUCUUUUUUUUUUUCUUUUCUACAUAUUGAUAUGCAUGAAUAAUUUCUGUUAAAAUCUCAUUUACAUAAUAAAAGUCAUAUGAUCCUGGGGUACAUGUGGUCUUGGAAAUUAUUUUUAGCUUUUAUCUUUCCGCACCUCUUAAUUAUCUUCAGAUUGUCAAGUCUUCAUUUACAUGUUUAGGCUUUACAUAUCUCUGUAAAAAAUGGCUCCCAUGGGGCGUACUUUCAUGCUGAUCUCUUUUCCCUUUUGAAUUAGUUUCUUGCUGUAAUGUUUUGACUUGAAAAUCUUUGGAUUAUGUUCUACAAUUCAAGAAGUCAUGAUAGAGGAGAAGGUUCACAUUAA